UCGGCAGCAACUAUCGCGCAAUUGUGCUUCGUUUUUUUUUUCGUUCAUACAGCGAGAUCCACAAUGGAUGUGAAAGUGUUCAAUUAAUUCAGUAAAGUACAAAUUUAGCUAAAUUGUGCCCAGAAAUGCAGCGAAAAUUCAAUUAGUAAUGCAAUUAGUGCUGGCAGUGUGAUUUGGCUGCAUUUCGGCAACAUAACCUCAGAUUGGCUACAAUUGACUUACACACCAUACGAAAGCCAUUUACUUGAAAGUGCAGUAAUGUGCAUUGACGCCGCCUCGCUUCUCACCUGAAUUCACCACAGCUACGGAAGGACGGAAAUGACCAGCUUUUACUUUCGUCUCGUUGCGUUGGACUUAAUGGAGUGUGUGGUAAAGUGUCUGAAAUGGUCCCUACCAUCAUGAGCUGGCUACUUAGGGUGCGAACCCUUCUCCAAAUUUAAUCCUGCAGACAAGGUAGCAUCUAGCUACCAUCACUCAGCGCUUCAGUUUGUUGGCCCGACUCUACUGUCUGCCUAUUAAAUUAAUAUGCCACAUUCGCUCCCAACAGGUUUCGUUGCAGGCAUGCUUUUUUAUUUCGUUUGCCGAAAAACAGCGGAACUUCCAUAUAAGCAAAUUUUUGGGUGUUAACUGAAGAGGUCCCAAGCAUCCUGUUCCUGCAAUUAAAUUAAAUUGAAACAUAAAAUCCUUAUCCAAUCUGUGAACACAAUAAUGAAUUAUAUUUGUAACGCUAUAUAUAAAGAAUAAAAAUAAUUGUAUUACUAA